GGGAGUCCCUCGGAUAGGGGAGAGUCCCUUAGUUGAACGCAUUUAUAUAUAAAGGGCAAGUCCCUCAACUAGGGGAGAAUCCCUCAGCUGAAGGCGUUUAAAAAGGGUGAAUGGAUUAUGAUAGAACAUUCAUACUUUUCUUUUUCUUUUUCUUUUUCUUUUUGUAGCAAUUUUUACAAUCCUUUGGUUUAAACGACUUUGUGAGGGUCACCUAUACCGGAGUUG
rnacentral:lncRNA from 1 species